GAGGAAAAGAAACCAACAGGGAUUGCCCCAGUAACGGCGAGUGAAGCGGCAACAGCUCAAAUUUGAAAUCUGGCCCCCAGGGCCCGAGUUGUAAUUUGCAGAGGAUGCUUUUGGCGCGGUGCCUUCCGAGUUCCCUGGAACGGGACGCCAUAGAGGGUGAGAGCCCCGUCUGGUCGGACGCCUAGCCUGUGUAAAGCUCCUUCGACGAGUCGAGUAGUUUGGGAAUGCUGCUCUAAAUGGGAGGUAUAUGUCUUCUAAAGCUAAAUACCGGCCAGAGACCGAUAGCGCACAAGUAGAGUGAUCGAAAGAUGAAAAGCACUUUGAAAAGAGGGUUAAAUAGUACGUGAAAUUGUUGAAAGGGAAGCGCUUGUGACCAGACUUGGGCCCGGUGGAUCAUCCAGCGUUCUCGCUGGUGCACUCCGCCGGGUUCAGGCCAGCAUCAGUUCGCCGCGGGGGAAAAAGGCUUCGGGAACGUGGCUCCUACGGGAGUGUUAUAGCCCGUUGCAUAAUACCCUGGGGCGGACUGAGGUUCGCGCUCCGCUAGGAUGCUGGCGUAAUGGUCAUCAGCGACCC
rnacentral:rRNA from 1 species